GAUGAACGCUGGCGGCGUGCUUAAUACAUGCAAGUCGAACGGAAGAGGCAGCAAUACUAAAUUAGUGGCGAACGGGUGAGUAACGUGUUGGUGACCUGCCCCGAAGUGGGGGAUAACAGUUCGAAAGGACUGCUAAUACCGAAUGUGCUCAGCUGGAAUAGAUGCCUACUGAUUAAAGGCGAAAGCCGCUUUGGGAGUGGCCUGCGUCCCAUCAGCUAGUUGGUAGGGUAAUGGCCUACCAAGGCGAUGACGGGUAGGGGACCUGAGAGGGUGGACACCACACUGGCACUGAAACACGGGCCAGACACCUACGGGUGGCAGCAGUAGGGAAUAUUGGACAAUGGGCGAAAGCCUGAUCCAGCAACGCCGCGUGCGCGAUGACGGCCUUCGGGUUGUAAAGCGCUUUUAGAGGAGAUGAGAAAGGACAGUAUCCUCAGAAUAAGCCUCGGCGAACUACGUGCCAGCAGCCGCCGUAACAC
rnacentral:rRNA from 1 species